GAUCAGGUAGGGAUACCCGCUGAACUUAAGCAUA
rnacentral:rRNA from 1 species